rnacentral:antisense_RNA from 1 species
CUGACCGUGUGCUCCCAGGUCGCGUCCGCGCUCACCAGCGCCUGCUCCCCGAAGUAGUCGCCGUCGGCGAGCACCCCCAGCAGCGCCUCGCCGCCGUAGGGCCCCUCGCCCAGCUUGCCGACCUUGCCGUGGGCCAGCAGGAAGACCUCGUCCACCGGGGUGCCCGCCUCCGCGAUCACCUGGCCGGGGUCGUACUCCCGCUGGACGAACAGGUCCGCGAGGCUCGCCAGCACGUCGGCGUCGCCGUACCCGCGCAGUGCGGGGAGCUCGCACAGCUCGGCGGCGAUGACCCUGACCUGGGCGCCGGUGGAGACGAAGGUCACCCGGCCGUCGGCGAUCUGGUAGGUCAGCCGCCGGUUGACCCGGUAGGCGCCGCCGACGGCCUCCACCCACGGCAGCAGGCGCAGCAGGUGCCGCGAGGUGAUCGCCUGCAUCUGCGGCGGGGUCUUGGUCGUCGUGGCCAGGUUGCGCGCGGCCCGGGUGCCCAGGCUGAGGCGGUUCUCGUGGG